AAAGUCGUAACAAGGUUUCCGUAGGUGAACCUGCGGAAGGAUCAUUAUUGAAUAAAUCUGGCGUAGGUUGUAGCUGGCUCUCUGGAGCAUGUGCACGCCUCGUCACCUUUAUCUUUCCACCUGUGCACACACUGUAGUCCUGGAUACCUCUCGCUGAAAGGCGGAUGCGGAGGUCGCUGUUGCCCCCUCAAAGGGCUCGGCUUCCUCUGAAUUUCCAGGUCUAUGCUUUUUUUUACACACCCCAAACGAAUGUUAUAGAAUGUCAUCAUUGGGCCUUUGUGCCUAUAAACCUAAUACAACUUUCAACAACGGAUCUCUUGGCUCUC
rnacentral:misc_RNA from 1 species